rnacentral:rRNA from 1 species
AGAGCACGUGGUGGAUGCCUUGGCAAUGAUAGGCGACGAAGGACGUGAUAGCCUGCGAUAAGCUUCGGGGAGCUGGCAAAUUAGCUUUGAUCCGGAGAUUUCCGAAUGGGGAAACCCACCUGCAAAGGUAUCGCAUGAUGAAUACAUAGUCAUGCGAGGCGAACCGGGUGAACUGAAACAUCUCAGUAGCUCGAGGAAAAGACAUCAACCGAGAUUCCGAAAGUAGUGGCGAGCGAAAUCGGAGAAGCCUGUUAGUGAUAGCACGACUCUUAACGGAACGGUCUGGAAAGGCUGGCCAUAGCAGGUGAUAGCCCUGUACGUGAAAAGAGACGUGUGGUACUGAGCUGACGAAAAGUAGGGCGGGACACGUGUAAUCCUGUCUGAAUAUGGGGGGACCAUCCUCCAAGGCUAAAUACUCAUCAUUGACCGAUAGUGAACUAGUACCGUGAGGGAAAGGCGAAAAGAACCCCGGGAGGGGAGUGAAAUAGAUCCUGAAACCGCGUGCUUACAAAAAGUAGGAGCCCGAAAGGGUGACUGCGUACCUUUUGUAUAAUGGGUCAGCGACUUACAUUCAGUGGCAAGCUUAACCGAAUAGGGAAGGCGUAGGGAAACCGAGUCCGAACAGGGCGUCUUAGUCGCUGGGUGUAGACCCGAAACCAAGUGAUCUAUCCAUGGCCAGGAUGAAGGUGCCGUAACAGGUACUGGAGGUCCGAACCGACUAGUGUUGCAAAACUAGCGGAUGAGCUGUGGAUAGGGGUGAAAGGCUAAACAAACUUGGAAAUAGCUGGUUCUCUCCGAAAACUAUUUAGGUAGUGCCUCAAGUAUUACCUGCGGGGGUAGAGCACUGUUUAGGCUAGGGGGUCAUGGCGACUUACCAAACCUAUGCAAACUCCGAAUACCGCAGAGUACAGCUUGGGAGACAGAGCACCGGGUGCUAACGUCCGGACUCAAGAGGGAAACAACCCAGACCGCCAGCUAAGGUCCCUAAAAUUGGCUAAGUGGGAAACGAAGUGGGAAGGCUAAAACAGUCAGGAUGUUGGCUUAGAAGCAGCCAUCAUUUAAAGAAAGCGUAAUAGCUCACUGAUCGAGUCGUCCUGCGCGGAAGAUGUAACGGGGCUAAGCCAGUUACCGAAGCUGCGGAUGCACAGUUUACUGUGCGUGGUAGGAGAGCGUUCUGUAAGCCUGUGAAGGUGGCUUGUAAAGGCUGCUGGAGGUAUCAGAAGUGCGAAUGCUGACAUGAGUAGCGUUAAAGCGGGUGAAAAGCCCGCUCGCCGUAAGCGCAAGGUUUUCUACGCAACGUUCAUCGGCGUAGAGUGAGUCGGCCCCUAAGGUGAGGCAGAGAUGCGUAGCUGAUGGGAAACAGGUCAAUAUUCCUGUACCGAUGUGUAGUGCGAUGUGGGGACGGAUCUUAAUAGGUCAUCCGGGUGUUGGAUAUCCCGGUUUAGGCAGAUGUAGGCGUCUGGUAGGCAAAUCCGCCAGGCAUAUACCGAGGCUGUCGAUCGAGCGAGCUUGCUCGCGAAGUGAUUGAACGAGGUUCCAGGAAAAGCCACUAAGCUUCAGCUGCACACGACCGUACCGCAAACCGACACUGGUGCGCGAGAUGAGUAUUCUAAGGCGCUUGAGAGAACUCGGGAGAAGGAACUCGGCAAAUUGACACCGUAACUUCGGAAGAAGGUGUGCCCUAGUAGUGUGAAGUGAACAACGGAGCAUGAAUGGGUUGCAAAAAAUCGGUGGCUGCGACUGUUUAUUAAAAACACAGCACUCUGCAAACACGAAAGUGGACGUAUAGGGUGUGACGCCUGCCCGGUGCUGGAAGAUUAAAUGAUGGGGUGCAAGCUCUUGAUUGAAGUCCCAGUAAACGGCGGCCGUAACUAUAACGGUCCUAAGGUAGCGAAAUUCCUUGUCGGGUAAGUUCCGACCUGCACGAAUGGCGUAACGAUGGCCACACUGUCUCCUCCCGAGACUCAGCGAAGUUGAAAUGUUUGUGAUGAUGCAAUCUCCCCGCGGAAAGACGGAAAGACCCCAUGAACCUUUACUGUAGCUUU